UAGAAAGCAAUGAGCUAGACGAUACACGAGGCAAGAUAUCGACAGCUUAACCUACUGACUGUUGCUAUUACAAGUGCAAUCUAAGUAUAUCUAAACUGUACAAUGAACAAUCGGCUCGAGUCUUGCAAUAUCUUGAGCCUCAAAUGCAACAGCCCUGGAUGCACUUGUUCUUUCCUUUAUAGAGUUGAAAUGGAUGUACAGGGGAAUGAAUCUAAUGUAGAAGCUUUUGUUCAACCAAUAAUAUAUAAGCAUCAUCCGGCAAAUGGAGCGACCAUUCAUCUUUUAGAAAACUAAACGACAGCAUCCACACAAGCACCAGCAAAUACCAUUUAGCACCCGGAAGUAUUAGCUGCAGAAGGUACUUCAGUUGUAGCAGGUGGCGGAGUUUGGGCUCUUGG
rnacentral:misc_RNA from 1 species